ensembl:processed_transcript Gm14005 predicted gene 14005
CAAGCUGCGCAUAUCUUGGGAUCUUCACAGCACAGUGGCUGGGAAGGCAGGCGGACCCGUCUAUCAGCUUCUCCCUGAAGACUACCAAAGCAAACCAGAGGACCAGAGAACAGCAGCUGCUCUGGACAAAGAGGGGAGGACACCCACACCCACAUACCAAGUUCUGGUUGACUUCUACAGCAGAAGAAGCAGGAGACACAAGAAGUCUCCUCAGAAGAACAUUGACCAGCACGCCUGCAUCCUUUCUGUUCUGACACACUUGUUACCUGGAUGACUUCUUUCUCAUCACCCACGUGCCAAGAGUGCCAUGUCUCAUCUGGACCAGAGACUCUGAGGAUCACACCAACAGAGACACAAAUGACACUUAAAGAAAGCCACAUCAGCUUUUACAACUUACCCCCCAAUACCAAAUG